UGCAGCAACGCCGCGUGAGGGAUGACGGCCUAACGGGUUGUAAACCUCUUUUAGUAGGGAAGAAGGGAGCUAUGCUCUUGACGGUACCUGCAGAAAAAGCACCGGCUAACUACGUGCCAUCAGCCGCGGUAAUACGUAGGGUGCAAGCGUUGUCCGGAAUUAUUGGGCGUAAAGAGCUCGUAGGCGGUUUGUCGCGUCUGCUGUGAAAUCCCGAGGCUCAACCUCGGGCUUGGAGUGGGUACGGGCAAACUAGAGUGCGGUAGGGGAGAUUGGAAUUCCUGGUGUAGCGGUGGAAUGCGCAGAUUUCAGGAGGAACACCGAUGGCGAAGGCAGAUCUCUGGGCCGUAACUGACGCUGAGGAGCGAAAGCGUGGGGAGCGAACAGGAUUAAAUACCCUGGUAAUCCACGCCGUACACGUUGGGCGCUAGAUGUAGGGACCUUUCCACGGUUUCUGUGUCGUAGCUAACGCAUUAAGCGCCCCGCCUGGGGAGUACGGCCGCAAGGCUAAAACUCAAAGGAAUUGACGGGGGCCCGCACAAGCGGCGGAUCAUGCGGAUUAAUUCGAUGCAACGCGAAGAACCUUACCAAGGCUUGACAUACACCGGAAACGGCCAGAGAUG
rnacentral:rRNA from 1 species